rnacentral:rRNA from 1 species
AACGAACGCUGGCGGCAGGCUUAACACAUGCAAGUCGAACGCAUCGCAAGAUGAGUGGCAGACGGGUGAGUAACGCGUGGGAAUCUACCCAUCUCUGCGGAAUAGCUCUGGGAAACUGGAAUUAAUACCGCAUACGCCCUACGGGGGAAAGAUUUAUCGGGGAUGGAUGAGCCCGCGUUGGAUUAGCUAGUUGGUGGGGUAAAGGCCUACCAAGGCGACGAUCCAUAGCUGGUCUAAGAGGAUGAUCAGCCACAUGGGGACUGAGACACGGCCCGAGCUCCUACGGGAGGCAGCAGUGGGGAAUAUUGGACAAUGGGCGCAAGCCUGAUCGAGCCAUGCCGCGUGAGUAAUGAAGGCCUUAGGGUUGUAAAGCUCUUUCACCGAUGAAGAUAAUGACGGUAGUCGGAGAAGAAGCCCCGGCUAACUUCGUGCCAGCAGCCGCGGUAACAC